rnacentral:rRNA from 1 species
AUUGAACGCUGGCGGCAGGCCUAACACAUGCAAGUCGAACGAGUGGCGGACGUGUGAGUAAUGUCUGUGCAACUGCCUGAUGGAGGAGGUUAACUACUGGAAACGAUAGCUAAUACCGCAUACCAUCAGAUGUGCCCAGAUGGGAUUAUCUAGUAGGUGGGGUAAUGGCUCACCAAGGCGACGAUCCCUAGCUGGUCUGAGAGGAUGACCAGCCACACUGGAACUGAGACACGGUCCAGACUCCUACGGGAGGCAGCAGUGGGGAAUAUUGCACAAUGGGCGCAAGCCUGAUGCAGCCAUGCCGCGUGUGUGAAGAAGGUCUUCGGGUUGUAAAGCACUUUCAGUGAGGAGGCGUUACUCGCAGAAGAAGCACCGGCUAACUCCGUGCCAGCAGCCGCGGUAAUUC